CAUGGUUCAGACAUAACAGGUGGCUUCGGCUACCACUUACAGAUGGACCCGCGGCGCAUUAGCUAGUUGGUGAGGUAACGGCUCACCAAGGCCACGAUGCGUAGCCAACCUGAGAGGGUGAUCGGCCACACUGAGACUGAGACACGGCCCAGACUCCUACGGGAGGCAGAAGUAGGGAAUCUUCCGCAAUGGACGAAAGUCUGACGGAGCAACGCCGCGUGAGUGAUGAAGGUUUUCGGAUCGUAAAGCUCUGUUGUUAGGGAAGAACAAGUGCCGUUCAAAUAGGGCGGCACCUUGACGGAACCUAACCAGAAUGCCUCGGCUAACUACGUGCCAGCAGCCGCGAUAAUACGUACGUGGCAAGCGUUGUCCGGAAUUAUUGCGCGUACAGGGCUCGCAUGCGGUUUCUUAUGUCUGAUGCGAAAUCCCCCGGCUCAAUCGGUGAGAGUC
rnacentral:rRNA from 1 species